GGGGCCAUAGCUCAGUUGGUAGAGCACCUGCAUGGCAUGCAGGGGGUCAGGAGUUCGAAUCUCCUUGGCUCCA
rnacentral:tRNA from 2 species